AUACUUCGGCAGCAUAUAUACUAGAAUUGGAACAAUAUAGAGAAGGUUAGCAUGGCCUCUGCACAGGGAUGACACUCAAAUUCAUGAAGUGUUCCAUAUUUUU